GGACAUUUAAAUUUUUUUUUAAAAUAUAAUAAUUUGUGUGUGUGUGUGUCUGUGAGUGUGUGAGUAUGUGUCAGUGUGUGUCUGUGAGUGUGUGUCAGUGUGUGUGUGUGUCUGUGAGUGUGUCAGUGUGUGUCUGUGAGUGUGUGAGUAUGUGUCAGUGAGUGUGUGUGUGAGUGUGUGUGUGUGUCAGUGUGUGUCUGUGAGUGUGUGAGUAUGUGUCUGUGAGUGUGUGUGUCAGUGAGUGUGUGAGUAUGUGUCAGUGUGUGUGUCAAUGUGAGUGUGUGAGUAUGUGUCUGUGAGUGUGUGAGUAUGUGUCUGUGAGUGUGUGUGUCAGUGAGUGUGUGAGUAUGUGUCAGUGUGUGUGUGUCAGUGAGUGUGUGUGUGUGUGUCUGUGAGUGUGUGAGUAUGUGUGUGUUUCUGUGAGUGUGUG